rnacentral:rRNA from 1 species
GACGAACGCUGGCGGCGUGCUUAACACAUGCAAGUCGAACGGAAAGGCCCUGCUUUUGUGGGGUGCUCGAGUGGCGAACGGGUGAGUAACACGUGAGUAACCUGCCCUUGACUUUGGGAUAACUUCAGGAAACUGGGGCUAAUACCGGAUAGGAGCUCCUGCUGCAUGGUGGGGGUUGGAAAGUUUCGGCGGUUGGGGAUGGACUCGCGGCUUAUCAGCUUGUUGGUGGGGUAGUGGCUUACCAAGGCUUUGACGGGUAGCCGGCCUGAGAGGGUGACCGGCCACAUUGGGACUGAGAUACGGCCCAGGCUCCUACGGGAGGCAGCAGUGGGGAAUAUUGCACAAUGGGCGGAAGCCUGAUGCAGCAACGCCGCGUGCGGGAUGAUGGCCUUCGGGUUGUAAACCGCUUUCGCCUGUGACGAAGCGUGAGUGACGGUAAUGGGUAAAGAAGCACCGGCUAACUACGUG